UACGAAGGGGGCUAGCGUUGCUCGGAUUUACUGGGCGUAAAGGGCGCGCAGGCGGCGGAUCAAGUCAGACGUGAAAGCCCCGGGCUUAACCUGGGACUGCGUUUGGGACUGAUUUGCUAGAGAUCGGGAGAGGAGAGUGGAAUUCCCAGUGUAGAGGUGAAAUUCGUAGAUAUUGGGAAGAACACCGGUGGCGAAGGCGGCUCUCUGGACCGAUACUGACGCUGAGGCGCGAAAGCGUGGGGAGCAAACAGGG
rnacentral:rRNA from 1 species